UACGAAGGGGGCUAGCGUUGCUCGGAAUUACUGGGCGUAAAGGGCUCGUAGGCGGUUUGUCGCGUCUGCCGUGAAAGUCCGGGGCUCAACUCCGGAUCUGCGGUGGGUACGGGCAGACUAGAGUGAUGUAGGGGAGACUGGAAUUCCUGGUGUAGCGGUGAAAUGCGCAGAGAUCGGGAGGAACACCCGUAGCGAAGGCGGUUCUCUGGGCCGGUACUGACGCUGAGGAGCGAAAGCGUGGGGAGCAAACAGG
rnacentral:rRNA from 1 species